rnacentral:misc_RNA from 1 species
CCAUUUGUCCUAGAAUCUUGCCAUAAUUUUAACCCCAAACAAAUUUUUUCCCUUUUCGAUAAAAAUGCACGUAUUUAUUUCGUAAUUUUUAAUACUCGUUUUUCGUAUUUUACUGUUUAUUUUCACAGAAAUUUCUUAUUUCUGUCGUUACGUUCUUACGUCGAAACGAACUAAGGAAUGGCGGUAUCGAAAGCCCGGUAAAGGGGGCGCGCUAAAAGAAGUUGCCUAUCGGUGACGUUUGUUGGUCGGGUCGAGUUGGCAACGUUGCCGAAGUAAACAUGGCGUAAUUAAGCGAUCGAGGGAACGUGUAAACGAAAACACGUGCUUAGUAAUCGCUGUUACGAUGAUAAACAAAGCGGACUGUAAUUAUAACUCGAUGGAUAACAAACCCGCCUCUAAUUCGCAAAAGAGUAACUGUGGAGAGGAUUAUAUGUACUACGAAGAAAAUGGCGUUUCUCCUCUACACAAAUAUGCGUUGAAUGGAGACAAAACAAAUUUGAGAAAAUUAUUGGAUUCUGUCGAAUCCAUCGAUUUGGAAGUAAAGGAUAAAUUUGGCAAAACGCCUUUGAUAUUCAGCGUAAUUGGUAAUCACGUGGAAUGUGCCAUUAUUCUACUUAAGUCCGGCGCUAGAGUGGAUAACAGUGACAAAUGUGGACAGACUGCGUUACACUGGGCGGCACAUAAAGGUUUGAGACGCUGUGUUCGUCUGUUAUUAGAUAAUGGAGCACUUUGGCAUCAGAAAGAUAUUUAUGGUGUAACUCCAUUGCACUUAGCUGCAAGAGCCUCUUCUCCAAAAUGUUUAGAAUUAAUUAGUAAAGAAGUACAGUUUGGUCAAACAGAUAUUGAAGAUAGCAGUAAGAAAACACCUCUUCAUUGGAGUGCAGCAUUUGGCAAUGCCAAACAAAUUAAAAUUCUUCUCAAAAAAGGUGCCAAUAUACGGAUUCCAGAUGUCGAAGGAAAGACACCUCUCCAUUUAGCAGCUGGCUGUAAUGAACCCGGAGCUUUAGAAUGUGUUAAAGUUUUAAUGGAAGAAGCACCUAGUGUUAUAAAUUGGCAAGAUUAUGAAGGGAGAAGUGCAUUACAUGUAGCAGUAGCUUUGGGUUCAACUGAUAUUGUUGAUUUAUUGACAUCUACUGAAAGAUGUAAUCUUAAUUGUCCUGAUAAUAUGUUUUGUACCCCUCUGCAUUGGGCAGCAUCUCUCGGUUUAGCAGAUAAAGUCAGUCUGCUUUUGGAUCGUAGAGCUGAUUUUCAUAGCACAGAUAUUAACGGAGCAACUCCUUUACAUUAUGCUUCUCAAGGAAAUUAUGCUGAUACUGUAGCUGUGUUUCUUUCAAGGAAUUACAUAACAGACAAAAGGGAUUCGGAAGGUAGAAAUGCAUUGAUGUGGGCAGCAGCGAGAGGUGCUGAUGAUGUAAUUCGCACCAUUUAUACAUUUGGUGUGGAUCUAUCAUUAAAAGAUGAAAAUGGAGCAUCAGCUCUUCAUGCUGCUGCUAGUCAAGGAAAUAUAACAACUAUUGACAUGUUGUUGGAUUUAGGAGCUCCUUUGGAAGCUUGUGACAAAAAUGACAUGACUCCUUUUCUGUACGCUUGUAUCAGGGGAAAAGCAAAGUCCGUUCGCCUACUCAUUGAGAAAGGAGCUUCUUUAAUGUCGAUGGAUAUGGAUGGUCGAACAUCUCUUCAUUGGGCAGCAUUGGGAGGCCACGCUUACGUUUGCCAGAUUUUACUUCAAAAUGGAUGUGAUCCAAACUGUCAGGAUUUUUAUGGAAGAACACCUUUAUACUGUGCCAGCCACGAGGGUCACAUUAAUUGUACAUCUGUUUUACUUGCAAAUGGUGCUAAUCCUAAUGUUGCCGACAAUGAAAUGCACUCCACUGGAUUAUGCAUUGAAAUCAGAACAGACGGAAAUAGCACAGAUUCUUAUAGAGUCGGGAGGCCUGACGUCUUUGGAUAUCGAAACGAUUGCUGCCGCCGUGAUUCAGGCAUUUUUUAAAGGGAUUUUAAUUAGAAAACAGAUUGCGACCAGAAAAAGAUUAUUUAAUUUUUUAUCCAUCAAGAAAAUAAACCAGACAUGGACGGGAAGAGCGUGUUCGGCCAGAAACUCUUGCUGCGGAAGCAGCGACUCGGA